GAUCAUGGCUCAGGAUGAACGCUAGCUACAGGCUUAACACAUGCAAGUCGAGGGGCAGCGGGAUUGAAGCUUGCUUCAAUUGCCGGCGACCGGCGCACGGGUGAGUAACGCGUAUCCAACCUUCCGUACACUCAGGGAUAGCCUUUCGAAAGAAAGAUUAAUACCUGAUGGUAUCUUAAGCACACAUGUAAUUAAGAUUAAAGAUUCAUCGCUGAUAGAUAGGC
rnacentral:rRNA from 1 species